rnacentral:rRNA from 1 species
AUUGAACGCUGGCGGCAGGCCUAACACAUGCAAGUCGAGCGGAUGAAGGGAGCUUGCUCCUGGAUUCAGCGGCGGACGGGUGAGUAAUGCCUAGGAAUCUGCCUGGUAGUGGGGGAUAACGUCCGGAAACGGGCGCUAAUACCGCAUACGUCCUGUGGGAGCAAGUGGGGGAUCUUCGGACCUCACGCUAUCAGAUGAGCCUAGGUCGGAUUAGCUAGUUGGUGGGGUAAAGGCCUACCAAGGCGACGAUCCGUAACUGGUCUGAGAGGAUGAUCAGUCACACUGGAACUGAGACACGGUCCAGACUCCUACGGGAGGCAGCAGUGGGGAAUAUUGGACAAUGGGCGAAAGCCUGAUCCAGCCAUGCCGCGUGUGUGAAGAAGGUCUUCGGAUUGUAAAGCACUUUAAGUUGGGAGGAAGGGCAGUAAGUUAAUACCUUGCUGUUUUGACGUUACCAACAGAAUAAGCACCGGCUAACUUCGUG